AGGGCUUGGGGUCGGAGGAGGACCAUGAGAGGAAGAAGGUGCUGGAGAGAUGGAUAGAGAAGCCGUUAUGGGCUAAGGGUCAAGAGAGCACGUCAUUGAGGACUGCCUUGUUGGAAUUAAGAGCAGCCCAGAUGGAAAACAGUAAAGAGUUAAUAAUAACUCAGGGUUAUCAAUAGAAAAGAAGAUUCUUACAGCACAAAGGAUAGAUAGGCACCUGCCCGGCUACUGUACUGCCUAAGGCUUAUUACAAAUAUAAAGGUUACAUGUUUUUGUUUUUGUUUUUUUUAAAUCCAGGAAGUCAAUAACAAAAGAUGCAUUCCGUUAAAACUCUUUCCACUCUCACCUCCAAGUGCUUUGGAAACACGCAGGGAAAAUGGAAACAGACAUUCAGCCAUAUGCGAGUCGGGAACAUUCUUACACACCGCAGGAAAUGAGGAUUUUAUCCUGAGGACCUUGAAGCCCCAGCUGUUUCACAUCCUUUUUACUUGCCAUUCAUCACGAAGCACCAAGUCUGGACACUGUCCCACCCCUGGCUCUGGGCACAAGCUGGAAGCUUUCUGGGUGUGAUGCCCUCCUUCUGACCUUGAUUGUCCUUUGUAUUGGUAGAAUGUGUAGGACUUUACUUGAUGGCCUUUACUUGGUAAUCCAAAAUGAAAGGAACCAUUUUUCUUUCUGGAUAAUAUGUUUUGCUGUGACACUGUAAGCUGAUUCAGUCAGUUAACACUACAGGCAGUAUAAAAGUAAGAUUGGCAUACAAGGGACAAAGCCCAAGGCAACCUAACAAAGCAAUUGUCGGCUAUGGCCUUACUUUCCAUGAAGAUCAGAAGCCUCGUAGAGUAACAAGCUUUCUGUGCUGAAAGCUGAAAGCUGCACAGAAAGUGUUGUGAGUGACCAUUUUCCCUCUCUGUCAGCAAAAACCACAAAGAUUUAGGAGCGGCUGGACCAGGAUUGGACUCCAAGGGUGAGUUAAAAGGAGCAGGAAGCCAAUGAGAAGAAGCCCCUGCUGAAAUGGGGCCAGUCCUCCAUCUUGCCACCGCCACAGGCCCCUAUGCAUUGUACACAGCUGGACCUUUCUCAUUCUCAGCUUUACGUGCUGCCGCUAGCUACACCACGGGAGGAGGAAGGAGAAAUCCCCGGCAUUUGACAGAUGUGUGGAGUGUGGAAGCAGCUGCUCAACACACACCAGCACUUGGAUUGGUUUUUAAAACAAAAACAAAACCAACAAGACAAUUUCCUAUCUGUUGGUGGAAGCAACACGUCUAAGUUGCUUGGGAGUCUUCAGGGAGUCUCAGGUCACACUGUCAGCAAUGACAAUGUCUGGGUGUCAGGAUAGCUCAGAACAGAACCCAUCUCUGAUGUCCAUAUCAAGAUUACACCUCGGGAUGUCUCCAAUCAGUUGCUGCUCCCAAGUCAUGUCACAGGAAAUGGGAUGAAAGGGUGAGAUUCAGCCACAUGAAAAUGGCCACGCCAGCAACAGUAACUCUUGCUAACCUCCCCCACAGCAGAGACACUUGGAAGAAAGGAUUCAACUGAUUACCAUCAUCAUCUCCACGACAAAGUUCACCAUCAAGAUGGCUAAGAGCAAAGCCUUCGCUUCACUGAUAAGUAUUCAGAGGGGCUAGUAAGCCAUGGCUAUAUCUAUCUAUUCUACUUUGUUGACGAUGUCACUGUCUAUAUGUCUGUGUAUGUGCGCAUGCACAUUUGUAUAUAUAGGAAUAUUUCCAAAUACCAAUAUCUAAUUUGUCUCUCUCUGUCUUUUGAGCUAUCCCAUCCUAGUCAUAUAAAAAGCCCCCAUGAUUCUGC